CUCAGUCACCCACUGAUGGGUGUGUUAAAGAGGAUCCAUGACCAUUUUCUGAGAGAAAUCAUGGCCUUCCUUUGCUUAGGAGUGGGGUACUCUCCACAUGCUGCUGUUUUGUUUUCAUGAAGUAAUGCAAACCUGGUUGUUACAGCCUAUUUUUUCUUAUGUGUAAAAUGCCUUCUAAGCCAUGGUUAGAUUGUAUGUCUGAAUCAAACUUAAAUAAGUCAAGUUAUUAAAUUACUCUUUUUAGAAGAACAGUUUUUAAAGGAAUGAUGAGUUUCUGUCA
rnacentral:lncRNA from 1 species